rnacentral:rRNA from 1 species
GAUGAACGCUGGCGGCGUGCCUAACACAUGCAAGUCGAACGGAGCUGUCGGAGCUUGCUUUGACAGCUUAGUGGCGAACGGGUGAGUAACGCGUGAGCAACCUGCCCUUGAGAGGGGGAUAACAUCGGGAAACCGAUGCUAAUACCGCAUAAAAUAUGCAGAUGGCAUCAUUGGCAUAUCAAAGGAGAAAUCCGCUCAAGGAUGGGCUCGCGUCUGAUUAGAUAGUUGGUGAGGUAACGGCCCACCAAGUCGACGAUCAGUAGCCGGACUGAGAGGUUGACCGGCCACAUUGGGACUGAGACACGGCCCAGACUCCUACGGGAGGCAGCAGUGGGGAAUAUUGGGCAAUGGGGGGAACCCUGACCCAGCAACGCCGCGUGAAGGAAGAAGGCCUUCGGGUUGUAAACUUCUUUGACAGGGGAAGAAGGAAGUGACGGUACCCUGAGAACAAGCUCCGGCUAACUACGUG